GCAGAACAUGCGCGAGUCUCUUUUGUUCUGGAACGGGCCGAGCCCCAGGAAGUGGAGCUGCGGAGCUGAGGCCUCACCGUGUCUUGGCCCACCCUGCUCAGCUGAUAGGAAGGUGUGUCACCUCUUUCCUAAUCGGGGAAAGAAAGGUAUUGUCACUUCUCAGAAUUGGAGAGCGCGGCAAGGAGUGCACAGGGCCAGGUGUCUUCUCGCUCCCACAGCCAAGCAGCAGAUGCAGAGUCCCACGCGCUGCCUGUGGCCAUCAAGUCGAUAUAGAGCCUCGUGGCGGCUUGGCCCUUGUGAAUCUUCCACGUAUCGAUGGCGCACCUACCUUGUGCCAGGCGCAGCGGAUCCCACAAUGUAAAAGAAGAGGAAAUACACUGCGACAUGUGAUAUGGAGAGACAUGAAACAAAUCAGCAGAGGCAAGAUCAUGGAGUCACUGAAGGCUUUCAAGCAAGGGAUUAUUAGCAGCCCAAUUUGCUGGGUUUUAGAAAGACACCGGCUGCACUGUGGCCGACAGAGGAAAAGCCAGAGACAGGGAGAUCCGCCCCCUAAAUGGGAGAGGGUGGCCUGAACUAGAGUAACCGCAGGGAGGGUGGAGCGCUGAUCAUUUCAAGGAUCUUCAGGAACUGAAAUGAUCAGAACUUGGGAAUGACUGCAUGUGCGAAUAAGGGGGAAAAGUCAAGGAAAUGCCCAGGUUUGGGGCCCAAGGAACAGGUUUGGGAGGCCGAGGUGAGGAGUUCAGCUUUGGACAUAAUGAGUUUGAGAUGCCCACAGGACAUCCAAAUACAAAUGUUAAAGGGGUAACUGAAUAUAUGUGACUGGAGUUUGCGAAAUCAAGGCUGGUGAUAGAGAUUCUGGAAUCUUCUGAAAGCAGAUGGCAAUUGAAGCUAUGGAAAUGGAUGAGAGAGUGUGUAAAGAGCACGAGGGCCCAGGUUAGAACAGCAAGGGCAGGUAGAGAAGUCACCAAAGGACACUGACCAGGUAGGAGUACGGUGUAACGGCAGCUAAAGAAGGGCGCUUCAAGAGGGAACAUCAACAGUGAUGAACACUCUGGAGAGAACAUGUCACAUGUAACGACUGAGAAGUGGCCACAAGAUUUAGAAAUCAGGGUGGUGGUGGUGACCCGGGCUACAGCAGUUUUAGUGGAGAGAAGGAAAUGGAGAUAAUUGUAGAGAAUAAUCCAGUGACUUCACUGUGAAGGAGCAAUUGGUAUCUGGAGGGGCACAUGACAUUCAGAGACUUAUUUUUAUCAUAUUUGAAGAUUGGUAGGAAAGAGCCAGGAGAAGAGAGGUUACAGCAGAGGACGGUUCCUGAAGAGAUCUGUCCCAUGAUGAAUCUGGGUUGUCCCUGUGUGAGCCCCUUGAACCAACAGAUUGUGGCAGAGUGACAUUGCACCAGUCUGAGACCUACACCUUAAGGAUGCCUGGCAGCUCCUGCUUUUGUGUUCCUCGGAGUCAUGAGCCACGAAGUCAAGCUACCCUGCUGGAGAGACCAGCUGAAGAAGCCUCUUGAAGAGGACCUGAGACUUAAGGCUCAGCCAUCCCAGACUGUGAGUUAAACCUCCAGAUGAGUCCAACCCCACCUGCUAUCUGACUACAGCUACAUAGACGACAAACCACCUAAGUGAUUCCAGUCAACCCACACAACUGUAAAAGAUAAUAAAAGUUGUUUAAGUCA